CCCUCCCCGUCCCUGCCGGGCCCGGACCUGCGCCGCCCGCGAGGGCUGGAAGGCACUGGAAGCGCCGCCGGGGCUGCCCAGAGGCCGGGUCCCCGCUCCACUUUGCGCAAACUUGUUUUUCUAAGGUCAGCGCUGCGAGCUGGCUACAUCGUCCUCUUAAGGUGGACCGGGGAAGUUGCGGCCGACCUCCCCUCGCCUCCGGACUCCGGCCGCGCGGCUGCUCCCCGCUUCCCACUGGCGAGAGGCUGGAGGCGGCGAAGGAGUCGGGGCGCGGGGGCGCGGGGGGCGGGGGGGCGUCUGCCUUUUAACCCUCCCCAGGAGGUCGUGCCUCUGAGCCCCAAAGCUGAAGGCCCCUCUUGGGGGUGGGUGCGGGCCGGAGGGGCCCGAUCCUUUCAGAGCCGGGCCGAGGUGAAGGAAAAGAAGGAAGUCCUUUGAGAUACAUUAUCUCACUGAAGCCUCAGCAACUCCGCGGUGUUCCCAGAGGUGAGGAAACACACUGAGAGACAGAACACGACUUGACCAGGGCCACCCUGUGGGGCACGCUGGCACCUGCACAGCCCAGCUUCACCUGGUUCCAGCCCUGCCCGCGCUCUGCUCCCCACUUCCCGUAACCCUGGGCUGGCGUCAGCAGGCAGGCCUGCCAGGAGGCUGGAGCUGCCAACGACCUAUUUUUCUGGGCAAGAAGAGCCAUUUGGAGUUAGAGGUCUCAGCUGUGAAGCCAGAACAAUAAAAAUAAAAACAGCACGGACUCCUGGGCAGCCUGGACCAGGGAACCAACUGCCCCAAGAGUUGCUGCUCACCAGGCUGGAAGGCAAGUGGGGUUGGGGGGAUGGGAGAUGGGAGUGACCUUACCGAGCCCCUGCUAUGUCCUCCGGCCCUUACAGAGUAAGGGUAAUCUCCAAGGUUCACAACAGGCCCUUUGUCUGGGUGGCCAGACCAGUCAGGAUUUGAACUCAGUUUUCCAAACAGUAACAAUUCCCAUCUGUUCAGCAGCUACUAUGCUUUACAGACUUGUGACAUUCAUACCACACCUGGGGGGGUGAGCUAAUCAUUCCCUCAUUCUACAGAUGAGGCAGCUGAGACUUCAGGAGGCCUCUGCUCACACGCCACCUCCUUGAGAGGCCUUGCCAGACCACCCUGUUAAAGUAGUCACCCUCACGCCUGCCCAAUAUGCCCUACCCUCUUCCCUAUUUUAUCUUCAUAGCAUGCAUCACGACCUGCUAAUAUUGUGUGUCUCCACUGCAUUUUGUCUGUCUCCCUAACUAGCUCCAGGUCAGUUUAUCCUAGUGGCUUGCACUCCAGCGGUCUCUCAGACUAGCCCCGUGGGGCAAGUUAUUUUGAUGAUCUGUGCUUCCUUCGGGGUAAUGAUAGGACCUUACCUGAAAGGUUUCUUGUGAGGGUUAAAUGAGUUAAUAUCGGUUAAGUGUUGGCCGCUGCCAUUGUUUUGUCCCAGAGCUGUAGCUCCAGGGUCUUUAACAGUAAACAAUAGGUUGUCAAUAAAUAUGUAUUAAAUUUAAAAA
rnacentral:lncRNA from 1 species